CACGUAGGCACCAAGCGUUGUCCGGAUUUAUUGGGCGUAAAGAGCUCGUAGGCGGUUCGGUAAGUCGGGUGUGAAAUCUUUGGGCUUAACCCAAAGCGUGCACUCGAUACUGCCGUGACUUGAGUUCGGUAGGGGAGCGGAGAAUUCCUAGUGUAGCGGUGAAAUGCGCAGAUAUUAGGAGGAAUACCGGUGGCGAAGGCGCCGCUCUGGGCCGAAACUGACGCUGAGGAGCGAAAGCGUGGGUAGCAAA
rnacentral:rRNA from 1 species